rnacentral:lncRNA from 12 species
GGAAGUGUCAAUGGUACGUUUCCCUUUGUCUCUUUCAGAAAACCAGAGGGGAACAAUGGAAUGGAAUAUUUUUGCAGUGAUGACCAGAUGCAUUGUAUUAUCAACUCACUCUGCCUAGAGAAGAGUGACUUCAGUGAAGACAGAAGUCUUCAAAAUAGGCAUCACCAUUCUCUUAAUUAACGUACUGAAUCUUGAGCUUCGUUCAUCCAUUCAACAAAUAAAUACCCAGUGAUUGAGAACUGAAGCUUGGUGAAACUGCUCUAGCACCUGAAGAUAUAAAGGUUCUUCAGGUGGCUACACCUUUCAAAUCUACCAGAAGUGGCUCAUCUUCAUCACAUUUUCCUGAUCACCCUUGACAUUUGGAUUCCUGCCAGCUUGAUGAUAAUGGUGAUCUUCAAUGAAGAAAUUGGGAAGACUGGAGCUGCCUUGGUAGAAAACUGAGAGAAGGGGAUCAUACUGUAAUGAACAUGGGACUGCAGG